ACUUUUAUGUUAAGACAAACCUAACCAAGCUGUUACCAAGUUUUUUUUGUCGGAAGCUGUUACCAAGUAACUGAACUAUUUUAGGAUUUAGAUUCAGUUUGGUUGGAUUGAGUUUUUGCACACCCCUGAACACUAAGCAUCAUUACCAGAGGAAAUCAGGAAAAGAUUGAAACUUUCUCAAUAAAAUCAGCAAAAAGUACAGGAAAAUGGGUGUUUUAGCAGCAAUUGGAGUGUUAGUUCCAUUCCCAUAUUACUACUGGCUAUGGACAAACCCACAAAAAUGGGUUAAUCUGUGUGGAAAAGGGAGGGACCCAUGUAAGGUUAUGGCCUAUGUUUCUCAUUUCAUGAAGCUGCUUCAGUUCAUUUCACUCUACUCAGUUUCUUCUCUUUCUUGGCCCCCUUCUCCAUAUUUCUGGCCUUUCUUUGGAUUUGGUCAGUUUCUUAACUUCAGGGUAUACCAAUUGCUUGGUGAAUCGGGUACUUAUUAUGGUGUGCGUUUUGGAAAGAACAUCCCCUGGGUGACACAGUUUCCUUUUGGGUUUAUAAGAGAUCCUCAGUACGUUGGAAGCGUUUUGAGUCUUCUUGCCUGUCUUUGUUGGAUCCCCUUCCCAUACAUUCUUCUGUGGUGUCUGGGAUAUGUGUUCAUGAUAUAUGUGGAAUCAAAAGAGGAUCCAGCUUCUCGCGCAAAGUUACUUUCUUGAUUACAGUAGUCGCAGUUCACUACGAAAGCUAAUGGCAUAAACAAAAAUGGAGAAAAGUAGACCUUAUUUAUGUGGAUGAGGCACUUGCAGCAGCAAUGCUUGGCUUCAUCUGUUAAAUAACUUGAGCAUUAAUAUACGUUGGCCCUGUUCUCUGAGAUCUUUUGUACAAAUUGACAUCUGUUGAUAUAUCCUUCUAAUGAUUGGAGUGUCAUGUACAUAUGGAGACUAAGAUUGGGGAGAGGAGACAAAAGAAAAUGGGAAAAGAGAAAAAAAAAUUGAAAUUGGAAAAAUUAAUAUCGAUUAGAUCAAGUCCUCUGCUAUGCAAGAGCUAGGGACAAAUCCAAAAUCUGCAUUGCUUGUUUGAUUUCUCCAAGAUCAAUGUCCUUUAAUUUGCCAGUUUUAGACGAGACGAUAGUGCAUUUCUUCUCCUCUGCAUUAGGAAUAAAUAAUUUACCUUUCUCUUCAGAGCCGAACAGGGCAAUGCUGCAAAAGAUCCACCACAAACACCUAGCUACGUCUAACUGUCGCUUUUCUAACUUCUCCCCAACCUUUCUGCGAAACAUCUUGAUUAUCAGAAUAUCAAUAGAAGAACAACAUACCUGUCCUGGAGUAGUGAUGAAGACAAUACUGGUUUUAUCUCCUACUAUUUCCUCCACGUUUUCUCUUUCUUUCUCAUGUGGAAUGACGAAAACAGGCUUAUAACCCCUGCUUGCAAGUUAACCAUUAAUGUUUGUAUCGACAGAAUUCUAUAUCUAUAUCUCCCUUUAGACUAUUUCUGCUGAAACUAAUGGAUACAUUCCAAAUGCAAUUCCUGCACUUUUAACAUCUA